UACGGAGGGAGCGAGCGUUGUUCGGAAUCACUGGGCGUAAAGGGCGUGUAGGCGGUCCACUAAGUCUGAUGAGAAAGCCCGGGGCUCACCCCCGGAAGUGCAUUGGAAACUGGUGGACUCGAGUCCCGGAGAGGAAGGUGGAAUUCCUGGUGUAGCGGUGCAAUGCGUAGAUAUCAGGAGGAAUACCGGUGGCGAAGGCGGCCUUCUGGACGGUGACUGACGCUGAGACGCGAAAGCGUGGGGAGCAAACAGG
rnacentral:rRNA from 1 species